CAGUAGCCACGGUAAUACGUAGGGUGCGAGCGUUAAUCGGAAUUACUGGGCGUAAAGCGUGCGCAGGCGGUUCGUUAAGACAGAUGUGAAAUCCCCGGGCUUAACCUGGGAACUGCAUUUGUGACUGGCGAGCUAGAGUAUGGCAGAGGGGGGUAGAAUUCCACGUGUAGCAGUGAAACGCGUAGAGAUGUGGAGGAAUACCGAUGGCGAAGGCAGCCCCCUGGGCCAAUACUGACGCUCAUGCACGAAAGCGUGGGGAGCAAACAGGAUUAGAGACCCCCGUAGUCCCUGUCUCUUAUAC
rnacentral:rRNA from 1 species